rnacentral:rRNA from 1 species
AGAGUUUGAUCCUGGCUCAGAUUGAACGCUGGCGGCAUGCCUUACACAUGCAAGUCGAACGGCAGCGCGGGGCGACCUGGCGGCGAGUGGCGAACGGGUGGGUAAUAUAUCGGAACGUACCCUGGAGUGGGGGAUAACGUAGCGAAAGUUACGCUAAUACCGCAUACGAUCUAAGGAUGAAAGCAGGGGACCGCAAGGCCUUGUGCUCCUGGAGCGGCCGAUAUCUGAUUAGCUAGUUGGUGGGGUAAAGGCCUACCAAGGCAUCGAUCAGUAGCUGGUCUGAGAGGACGACCAGCCACACUGGAACUGAGACACGGUCCAGACUCCUACGGGAGGCAGCAGUGGGGAAUUUUGGACAAUGGGCGAAAGCCUGAUCCAGCAAUGCCGCGUGAGUGAAGAAGGCCUUCGGGUUGUAAAGCUCUUUUGUCAGGGAAGAAACGGUGCGGGCUAAUAUCCCGCGCUAAUGACGGUACCUGAAGAAUAAGCACCGGCUAACUACGUGCCAGCAGCCGCGGUAAUACGUAGGGUGCAAGCGUUAAUCGGAAUUACUGGGCGUAAAGCGUGCGCAGGCGGUUUUGUAAGUCUGUCGUGAAAUCCCCGGGCUCAACCUGGGAAUUGCGAUGGAGACUGCAAGGCUAGAAUCUGGCAGAGGGGGGUAGAAUUCCACGUGUAGCAGUGAAAUGCGUAGAGAUGUGGAGGAACACCGAUGGCGAAGGCAGCCCCCUGGGUCAAGAUUGACGCUCAUGCACGAAAGCGUGGGGAGCAAACAGGAUUAGAUACCCUGGUAGUCCACGCCCUAA